UGGUGGAGUGAUUUGUCUGGUUAAUUCCGAUAACGAACGAGAUCGCAUCCUACUAAAUAGUGGCGUUAACCAUCUAUACGGGUGAAGGCUGUUGGAUUUAGGGGGCUGGGAAACUGGCUGCUUUGGACUGGCGGUUGGAUCCUUGAUGCGUUGGCGUCAACAAAACUUCUUAGAGGGACUGUCGGUGAUUAACCGAAGGAAGUGCGGCAAUAACA
rnacentral:rRNA from 1 species